rnacentral:rRNA from 1 species
AGCGGCGGAUGGGUGAGUAACACGUGGGGAACCUGCCCCUAAGUCUGGGAUACCAUUUGGAAACAGGUGCUAAUACCGGAUAAUAAAGCAGAUCGCAUGAUCAGCUUUUGAAAGGCGGCGUAAGCUGUCGCUAAGGGAUGGCCCCGCGGUGCAUUAGCUAGUUGGUAAGGCAACGGCUUACCAAGGCGACGAUGCAUAGCCGAGUUGAGAGACUGAUCGGCCACAUUGGGACUGAGACACGGCCCAAACUCCUACGGGAGGCAGCAGUAGGGAAUCUUCCACAAUGGACGCAAGUCUGAUGGAGCAACGCCGCGUGAGUGAAGAAGGUUUUCGGAUCGUAAAGCUCUGUUGUUGGUGAAAAAGGAUAGAGGUAGUAACUGGCCUUUAUUUGACGGUAAUCAACCAGAAAGUCACGGCUAACUACGUGCCAGCAGCCGCGGUAAUACGUAGGUGGCAAGCGUUGUCCGGAUUUAUUGGGCGUAAAGCGAGCGCAGGCGGAAAAAUAAGUCUAAUGUGAAAGCCCUCGGCUUAACCGAGGAACUGCAUCGGAAACUGUUUUUCUUGAGUGCAGAAGAGGAGAGUGGAACUCCAUGUGUAGCGGUGGAAUGCGUAGAUAUAUGGAAGAACACCAGUGGCGAGGGCGGCUCUCUGGUCUGCAACUGACGCUGAGGCUCGAAAGCAUGGGUAGCGAACAGGAUUAGAUACCCUGGUAGUCCAUGCCGUAAACGAUGAGUGCUAAGUGU